UAACGUCCGUCGUGAAGAGGGAAACAACCCAGACCGCCAGCUAAGGUCCCAAAGUCAUGGUUAAGUGGGAAACGAUGUGGGAAGGCCCAGACAGCCAGGAUGUUGGCUUAGAAGCAGCCAUCAUUUAAAGAAAGCGUAAUAGCUCACUGGUCGAGUCGGCCUGCGCGGAAGAUGUAACGGGGCUAAACCAUGCACCGAAGCUGCGGCAGCGACGCUGAUGCGUUGUUGGGUAGGGGAGCGUUCUGUAAGCCUGUGAAGGUGUGCUGUGAGGCAUGCUGGAGGUAUCAGAAGUGCGAAUGCUGACAUAAGUAACGAUAAAGCGGGUGAAAAGCCCGCUCGCCGGAAGACCAAGGGUUCCUGUCCAACGUUAAUCGGGGCAGGGUGAGUCGACCCCUAAGGCGAGGCCGAAAGGCGUAGUCGAUGGGAAACAGGUUAAUAUUCCUGUACUUGGUGUUACUGCGAAGGGGGGACGGAGAAGGCUAUGUUGGCCGGGCGACGGUUGUCCCGGUUUAAGCGUGUAGGCUGGUUUUCCAGGCAAAUCCGGAAAACUAAGGCUGAGGCGUGAUGACGAGGCACUACGGUGCUGAAGCAACAAAUGCCCUGCUUCCAGGAAAAGCCUCUAAGCAUCAGGUAACAUCAAAUCGUACCCCAAACCGACACAGGUGGUCAGGUAGAGAAUACCAAGGCGCUUGAGAGAACUCGGGUGAAGGAACUAGGCAAAAUGGUGCCGUAACUUCGGGAGAAGGCACGCUGAUAUGUAGGUGAAGUCCCUCGCGGAUGGAGCUGAAAUCAGUCGAAGAUACCAGCUGGCUGCAACUGUUUAUUAAAAACACAGCACUGUGCAAACACGAAAGUGGACGUAUACGGUGUGACGCCUGCCCGGUGCCGGAAGGUUAAUUGAUGGGGUCAGCGCAAGCGAAGCUCUUGAUCGAAGCCCCGGUAAACGGCGGCCGUAACUAUAACGGUCCUAAGGUAGCGAAAUUCCUUGUCGGGUAAGUUCCGACCUGCACGAAUGGCGUAAUGAUGGCCAGGCUGUCUCCACCCGAGACUCAGUGAAAUUGAACUCGCUGUGAAGAUGCAGUGUACCCGCGGCAAGACGGAAAGACCCCGUGAACCUUUACUAUAGCUUGACACUGAACAUUGAGCCUUGAUGUGUAGGAUAGGUGGGAGGCUUUGAAGUGUGGACGCCAGUCUGCAUGGAGCCGACCUUGAAAUACCACCCUUUAAUGUUUGAUGUUCUAACGUUGACCCGUAAUCCGGGUUGCGGACAGUGUCUGGUGGGUAGUUUGACUGGGGCGGUCUCCUCCUAAAGAGUAACGGAGGAGCACGAAGGUUGGCUAAUCCUGGUCGGACAUCAGGAGGUUAGUGCAAUGGCAUAAGCCAGCUUGACUGCGAGCGUGACGGCGCGAGCAGGUGCGAAAGCAGGUCAUAGUGAUCCGGUGGUUCUGAAUGGAAGGGCCAUCGCUCAACGGAUAAAAGGUACUCCGGGGAUAACAGGCUGAUACCGCCCAAGAGUUCAUAUCGACGGCGGUGUUUGGCACCUCGAUGUCGGCUCAUCACAUCCUGGGGCUGAAGUAGGUCCCAAGGGUAUGGCUGUUCGCCAUUUAAAGUGGUACGCGAGCUGGGUUUAGAACGUCGUGAGACAGUUCGGUCCCUAUCUGCCGUGGGCGCUGGAGAACUGAGGGGGGCUGCUCCUAGUACGAGAGGACCGGAGUGGACGCAUCACUGGUGUUCGGGUUGUCAUGCCAAUGGCACUGCCCGGUAGCUAAAUGCGGAAGAGAUAAGUGCUGAAAGCAUCUAAGCACGAAACUUGCCCCGAGAUGAGUUCUCCCUGACUCCUUGAGAGUCCUGAAGGAACGUUGAAG
rnacentral:rRNA from 1 species